GACUAAAAUAAACUACAUUUAAAUUGUAUUGAGCAUUAAAUGGAUUUGCACAAAUUACCUGACUAGGAAGUCCAGCUGCUGCUGUCUCCAGUAUUUAUCCAGGGGUAUCUCUGUCCAGAUGUCUACAUUUUUUCUGGCUCUCAGACCACUCAUGAGGCUUUUGACAAAAUUCUUUCAGUAUUUUGAAAAGGAGCAGCGUUUGGUCUCUAAUCUGCCACCGAACUAGAACAAACUUCUAAUGAGUGUUCAGAUGGCCAAACUGUUUUAAAAAAACUGAGAAGAAUGGAAUUGAACUUUUGGAAUGUGGAAAAAUAGACAUGUAUUGUCAUUGGGAAAGGAGACAAGAUUCAUGACUGGAAAAGAUUUUUGCCUCAGGAUGAAUCAUGACAUAAGUCUCAUCCUUACCUGACUUAGGUGAUAUUGAAAUGAUGUUUUGGACUCGGAAAUGAUGCUAGAAUGGGUUAUGUCUUUUGGACUUGUUGGUAUGUAGUAAUGUAUUUUGAAUGCAAGAAGGACAUGAAUUUGGGAGUCAGAGGGUAGAAUGUUAUGGACUGAAUUGAGUAUACCCCAAGUUAAUGUUGAAACCUUAGCCCCCAACAUGGCUAUAUUUAGAGACAGGUCUUUCAGGCAGUAAAAGUUAAAUGAGGUUAUAAGGGUAGUGACCUAAUCCAAUUGGACUAAUGUUUCCAUGAGAAGAGGAAGAGACAUCAGAACUCUAUCCCCAUGCAUAUACAGAGAGGCCAUUUGAGGAUAGAGCAAGAAGGGGAUUGUACGCAAAGCAAGAAGAGAGAUCUCACCAGAAACUAACCCAGCUGGUACCUUGAUCUUGGACUUCCAGCCUCCCAAACUGUGAUAAAAUAAAUUGCUGUUGUUUAAGCCCCUUAAUCUUGUAUUCUGUUCUGACUGUUAUAGCAGACUAAUACAAUGGGUUUUCAUUUUUCUAGAGUAAAUAGCUAAUGCUGGGUUAUGUAGUAUGAAUAUGUCUAACUGAAUGAGAUAAAAAGGACAAUUUGUUUUCUAGAGUGUUUGAGUUUUCUAGAGUGUGAAGAGUUUUCUAGAGAAAAAUGUUUUCCAACAUUUUUCAUCCCCACACAAUAUAUGGGAUCCAGUUUGCUUUGUAUUUUCACCAGCACUUGAUACUAUCAGUAUUUUAUGUCAGUUUAUACACCACUCUGAUAGAUGUAUGAUAGUAUCUCAUUAUGGUUUUAAUUUUCAUGAUACUAGUAGCUAAUCAUAUUAAACAUUGUUAUCAGCUUAUUUACCAUUUUUAUAUUGGUGAAAUUUCUGUUCAUGGCCUUUUCACAGUUUUUAAUUGGUUGUUUACUUUCUUAUUGUACUUUGAGCACUUGUUAUGUAUACUGGAUAUGAAUCUUUGUAAAUAUGUUCUUCCAGUCUGAUACUUGUUUCCUCUAAGCAGGAUAUUUCACAGAGCAAAAGUUUUGAGUUUUAUGAAAUUUUCUUUAUCAAUAUUCUUUUUACAUUUAUGUUAUAUCUAAGAACUCCUCACCUAAUCCAAAUCAUGAAGUUUUUUUAAUGAUUUUCUCUAAAAGUUUUACAGUUUUUUGUGGUAGAUUUUGAUAUAUGAUUCAUUUUGAGUUCAUUCUAUUAUAAAGUAUAAGUUUAUUAGUUUGAGAGACAUCUGUUGCAAAUGAUGUAUAACUGGCCCAACAUUAUUUGUUGAAAAGACUUACCUUUAUCUAUUGAAUUUCUUUUGUGUGUUGGUCAGACAUGAAAUGACCAUAUUUAUAUGUGCCUAUUUCUGGAUUCUAUAUUCUGUUUUUUGUUUGUUUGUUUUUGUUUUUUUUUUUGUUUGUUUUGUUUUUUUAAAUCUGUAUGUGUGUCUUGUCACCAGUUCUACAGUGAAUUGAUUACUGUAGCUUUAAAGUAUGUUGUAAUACUGGGUAACAGGACUCCUUUAAAUGAAUUUUUCUUUAUUAAAAUACAUUAGCUACUUUAUUUUUAUUUUAAAG